rnacentral:rRNA from 1 species
GGUGGAUGCCUUAGCACCAGGAGCCGAUGAAGGACGUAGGAGGCUGCGAUAAGCCUCGGGGAGCUGUC